rnacentral:rRNA from 1 species
GACAGAGGGUGCAAGCGUUGUUCGGAAUCACUGGGCGUAAAGCGCACGUAGGCGGCUGCGUAAGUCAGAUGUGAAAGCCCUGGGCUCAACCCAGGAAGUGCAUCUGAUACUGCACAGCUUGAGUCUCGGAGAGGGUGGUGGAAUUCCUGGUGUAGAGGUGAAAUUCGUAGAUAUCAGGAGGAACACCGGUGGCGAAGGCGACCACCUGGGUAGAUACUGACGCUGAGGUGCGAAAGCCAGGGGAGCAAACGGG